rnacentral:ncRNA from 1 species
AAUGGUAGAGGCGCAAAGCUCAUCAGUAGCGCCGGAUAUUUUUAAGGAAAUACGGUUUCCGUCCGGAGCGAAAGGGUGCUUUGCCGAAGCAUUGCGGUUUGCCGUAUUCGGCCGCAUUUGCUGGGGCGUGAGAGAACAUCUUACGGACUGUCACUUCGGUGGAGAGCUAUCAU